UACGGGGGGGGCAAGCGUUGUUCGGAAUUACUGGGCGUAAAGGGCUCGUAGGCGGCCAACUAAGUCAGACGUGAAAUCCCUCGGCUUAACCGGGGAACUGCGUCUGAUACUGGUUGGCUUGAAUCCGGGAGAGGGAUGCAGAAUUCCAGGUGUAGCGGCGAAAUGCGUAGAUAUCUGGAGGAAUACCGGUGGCGAAGGCGGCAUCCUGGACCGGCAUUGACGCUGAGGAGCGAAAGCCAGGGGAGCAAACGGG
rnacentral:rRNA from 1 species